UUUUCCCUUCCCUUCCCUUUUUUUCUUUGAAAGUGGCUGGUUUUGUAUCUUCAGUUUUGAUUUCUAUAUUCUGAGGCUAUAUUGGUAAGUACACAUAGUUUAAAGAUUAGCAUGCCUUUUGUUUCAAAUAAUACAGUUUUCCCUAAUAUCUCAGUUAUGGUUUCUGUUAAUGUGUUCCUGGUUAAACAUUUGCCAUUAUUUUUUUUGCAAAAUUUCUAGCAUAAUUUUGAUUUAUUAUGUAUCUCAUAAUCAACACAUAAUCACAUUUUGUUUGCUUUAUCUAAUUUGUAAACUGCUUUGUAUUUAAAUGAGAAGUUUGAUGAUCAGAUUGUCUACCAUCUUAUUGCAUUCCUAUCUUACAUACUUUCUUAUGUCUUUUUCUUUUUUUGACUUCAGAGCUUAACAAACUCACAUACAAAUAAAGUUUUGUUUAAACAUGAGUAAAGCUCAUUUAAGAAGGUAUAGUGUAGCGUAGUAUAGUAUAGUGUAGUGUAUAGCAGUAGUAGAUUUGUUGUAACAGAUACCUUGUGGCCCACAAAGACAGAACUAUUUGCUAUUUACCCUUUACAGAAAAAAAAUGCAAACCGGUUUUAAUGGAUUCAAGUAUUCUUUAUCUUUCUCCCUUUAGAGUUAAAGAUUGUAAUCUUGUUCCAAUAAUAGGUAACUUAGAUUAAAAAUCAUACUCUGAGUUAAAAUUAAUAUGCUUACUUUUAAAAGAGAAAAUGAAUUUGUUAAAUGUAUUUUUUGCAUGUGAGCUCAUGGUGUGUGUUUGUGUGUACUUUCUCUAUGUGUGCAUGGAUGUGUAUGUGGGUGCGUGUGCUUAUGUGUGCACUUCAUGACCUGCUAACAAAGGUCAGAGAAUAAGUAUAGGAGCUAGUUCUCUUCUUCCACCACGCAUAGUCUGAGUGUGAACUCAGCUGUCAAGCUCAGUGGUAGGUGCCUUUACCCAUAACAUUAUCCCUACCUUUUUUUUUCUUGGACAAAACAAUUAUUUCAGGAUCUUCCGGUCUUAAUCACCUUCCAUAACUUCUAGUGUUUUAGUUUUAUUUCACAUAAAUUUCUCUCUCCAGAAGCAAAUAGCCAAUGUGUAUUUGCCCAUCUAACACAUUCUUUGAUUUGUGCAGAUUUGUAUGUCCUACUCAUUCUUUUUAAGCUUAAUUGCUUAUUUCUAAUGCACAUCUCUGCGCAGGUCUUUCAAAGACCAUUUUGGGUGGUAUGCUAAUCAUCAUAUGUGGCAUAUGUGUAGAAACAGCUAGUCUGUGUUCCUCAGGCCAGCCUGGAAAUAGAAAUAGCAAUCCUCUUGCCUCACCCCUGGCUUCUCGACUUCUGUCAUAAGAGGCAGACUCUACUAAGUUGGGCUUAUCUCUCUUCCUGAAUUAUAAUUUAGCAGACACUUUUCUUCAAUAUUUUUCUAUUAUUUUUGGGGUUCUUUUCCUUGUGAGAGUUCUGCACUUUUCAAAAUGAGUGCACAAAGAUUGAAUUGCCUUUUAAGUAACUAGCAAAAGGCAUUGUUUUACUGAUUUGUUCCAGAGACUCCAAAGUACAGAUUUUGAGCAUAACUUCCUGUACUUUAGAAGCAUGUGAUGCUAGUCUGCAAACAUGAGCAAAUCUUAGAACGCUCCAUUAUUUAUUUAUUGCACAAUCACAGACUCACAUCCUGGUGAAUGUUAAUAUUUUCUGGGAGUAACAACAGACUAGGGAACAGAUAACAGCUAUAAAGGGCCCACAGAAACCCACAGAGCAGGAGCCUGACUUCUUUGCAACAGAACUGGUUGAGAUGAAGUGAAAUGCUCUCAGACAGCAACUGCACAAGCCCUCCCAGCUCUCUGCAGAAUUCUGUCUGGCAGAUUUCUGUGCUACACCCUGCUCAUAGUGGAUGCCUGACAACUAUUUAAGGUGACCAGACACAAUGACAGCACUACUAGAAGAAAUAGCUGCUGUAAACAGAACUUGCUCUGGAAAAGGACCAGAACUCUUUCAUCCUAAGAACUUCAGAUUGAAAAUCUCCAACAAGUUCCUGCAUUUUAGAGAAAGCUCAAUGAGCAAAGCUUUUGAAGGUAGAGGCUGCUUUUUGGUGGUAGUGAUGGUGCAGGAGGCUUCUGGAUACUGGCUUUCUGGUCAUCUUGGUACCUUACUGGAGUAUCCUGUCAGCUUAUCUCAUGCAUUCAGCCUGUCUGGGACUCAGAUGUGUGGGCUCAGGGUAUGGAUGAUCCUUAGACAUAAGCAUUCAAGGAGAGCAAAACCUCAACUCUAUUCUAGUAGCCAAAGCAUUUUAUUUUAUAAUCUCAUGUUUUUCUUUCCACAUGUCAACCAGUGCAUCUGGCAGAGUCAGCAAGAGCCUUAAAUUUGGCAACACCUUAAGUAUGAACAAGAAUUCUCAGGCUUGACUCUGCUUUUGCAAGUGUUCUAAAACAGAAGAAAGGGUCAUAAACUUACGUGAAAUCAUACACUAAGAACCUAAAGAAAAGAAAAGAUUGUUCAAAUCAAACACUGUAAGACCAGAAGAAUUUUUAUGUGUGAGUUACUUUUAUUUUUAGAAAUAGAAUAUAAUAGAUAACUAACAGAAAGACCAUGCCAAACAUUCUGCAAAGCAAUGUGCAGAAUGACCUCAUUGUGUUAAAACACAGGAUGGAUAAGUAUACUUGGAUUAAUCAUUGCUUUCCUGUGCAUUUCCUGUGUCAGAUGUUUUGCUAAUUUUUUUUUUUACAUACAGUGCUUUAUAUGCACAACUGACAGAAAUCCCAAGGUACUUCUUCUUCCUUGCUCUCUUCUUAUCCAUGCUCUUCAUGGUACCACUCACAAAACCUAAGAUGUACAACCAACUACAUGUCUACCAUCAGAUUAGUGUGUGAAGAAGAUACUAUGGCACAUGUGUGCAAUGGGGUUAGUUGGAAGAGAAUCAACAACAAAACAACAAAAAACGAUCACAAUUUCACAAGGAAACCUACUAAAAAACAAACCACCAAAAAGGCUGGAGGUGGAGAUCAUUAUGUUAAACACUAGACUGAAAAAGUAAUUUUUAUAUCAGCUUUUACCAGGAUUAUUAAACCAAAGUUUCUUUCUUUGUAAAAAUGGCCAUCCUGUCGAAACGCCUUCUAAAUCUUUAUGUUUACACCUAUAGAGCUGGACUGGUCUCAGCCUUGGUGAGUGUACAGUAGUGAGUGUACAGGCUCCAAACUGGUCAAAGAGCAAGCAAAGUUCCUAAACAUAUGUACAUAUGAGCAACACUAAAUGGAUUCAGUAGGGUAUGUGUACAAAUGUAUAUAAUAAUAAGAAUUAUCAAAGAAGAGGUUAUGAUUUUGAGAUAGUUGGGAGGAAGUGGAAAGGAGUAGGGAGGGAUAGAAAUUAUGGAAAUAAAUACAUAUAAAUUUAUAAAAAAAUGUUUAAAGAAAGAAAGAAUAAAUGGCUGUGAGUGCUUAGCUCUAAAUAGAACAUUGCCAUUGUUGUUUAUGUUUGAGACAGGAUCUCAUUGUAUAGCUCUGGCUGGUCUAGGACUUGAAAUGUAGACCCGAUCGUCCUGGAACACACAGAGAUCUACCUGCCUCUGUCUCCUGAGUGCUGGGAUUAAAGGCAUGUGUCACCAUAUCUAGCUAAACAGGACAUCUUCAUUAAACAUCCCUACCACUACCAAGGCUCAGAGAACAUCUUGGAUGAAGAGGUCAUAAGGAUGUGAAAGCUGGAGGAUGAGAAAGGAUGCUGUGAUGUGAAGUCACCUGGUUGUGGUUCUUGCAUCCAUGAACUCACAGCAGCUGUGGCUACCUGAAUAAAACCUACACAAGAUCAAGCAAAACAACAACAACAAACAAACAAAAAACAAACAAACAAACAAACAAAAAGAACGGAAUAGGUGGGGUGUGUGUGGGUACUUAUGAGAUCUGCCUUAUCUACUUUUCAAUUGCUAUAAUAAAACACCAUGAUCAAGGCAACUUGCAGAAGAAAGAGUUUAUUUGGAGCUUAUAGUUUCACAGGGUGAGAGUCCAUGACAUUCACCUUCAGAGGGUGAGAGAGGGAGGUGGCAACAAACAAGGAGGUAUAUUACUAGAGCAGUAGUUGAGAGCUCACAUCUUCAGACACAACUACUGGGGGGGGGGGUUGCGGGGAUCGAAUAGUUUAGACUUUUGGAACCUUAAAGCUUGCCUUUGGUGACAAACCUCCUCCAACAUGGCUAUACCACCUAAUCCUCCCCAAAUAGUUCCACCAGCUAGGGAACAAUAUUUAAAUGCAAUAGCCAGAGAGAGGAAUUAUCAUUCAAAUUACCACAGGCUCUACCUGAGACCAAGGAACUAUUGAGAGUUGGUUGUUGUUGGGUGCAGGAGAAUCAGUCUUCUUUAAGGAUGAUUUGUUUCUCUUGCUCAGUGCCUGUCCCAUGACCCAUGCACAUAUGGACAGUACAGAAUGGACUUAGUGUUAAAAAAUAACAAAAGAAGAGAAAACUCUAAGCAACAAAUAAAUAUAUUUUUAGUUUAUUAUCGGAGAAUUUCAUGCUUGUACACAAUGUAUUUUGGUAAUAUUUGAUUCCCCUUCUCCAGCUCCUCUAAGAUCCCUCUCCACAUGCACCCUUCCCAACUUCAUACACUUUAAAAAAUAUUAAACCACUGAACCUAAUUAGUAAUAGAGAGUUCUUAGUAUCUCCAAUUUAUAAAUAACAAAACUGAGGUGAAGUUUAGUUAGUUUGACCAAAGUCACACAAACAGUAUGGUAGAGGACUCCAUAAUCACAGACUACUUUGAUUCAUUAGUGUAUCUACCUGCAGAGGUGAACCUCUGUCAAUAAGUAUUAGUUGGC
rnacentral:lncRNA from 1 species